UACGGGGGGGGGUAAGCGUUGUUCGGAAUUACUGGGCGUAAAGGGCGCGUAGGCGGCCUUCUAAGUCGAACGUGAAAUCCCCGGGCUCAACCCGGGAACUGCGUCCGAUACUGGAAGGCUUGAAUCCGGGAGAGGGAUGUGGAAUUCCAGGUGUAGCGGUGAAAUGCGUAGAUAUCGGGAGGAACACCAGUGGCGAAGGCGACUACCUGGCCUGUUCUUGACGCUGAGGCGCGAAAGCUAGGGGAGCAAACGGG
rnacentral:rRNA from 1 species